rnacentral:rRNA from 1 species
AUGGCUCAGCCGGAGCAGAGCAAGCAGCCAUGGGAGUACACCCUGCGGAAGUACCUCCUACUGCUGGCCACCCUGGUGGUCAACGUGACGUACGCCGCGGGCUUCAACCCGCCGGGGGGCGUCUGGCAGGAGGACCCCCGCAACGACGGCCAACGACUCGCUGGCGACCCCAUCAUCCGCGACAUCCACUACCGCCGCUACCUCGCCUUCUUCUACUGCAACGCCACUGCCUUCGCCGCCUCACUCGUGGUCAUCAUGCUCAUCCUCAUCCUCGCCGUUCGGCACGACAAGGAGAAGGAGAAGGGGAAGAAGGACGCCGUUCAGGUCAUCAAGCCGCUGCGGGCCGUCAUGGUGCUGGACCUGCUCAGCCUCGUGGUGGCCGCUGUCUUCGCCUACAUUGUGGUUCUCAAGUUGCUGGACCGGUGUCUUCCAGACAAGAACUCUGGCUCUAGCUCCAACGGCGGCAUGCCCAACUCUGAAACCAACAACUGCGCCGUGCCUGGCGCCAGCGCAAUUCCCGCCCCUGACCCUGAAUCUGACCGCAAGGUCAAAGAAAAGGAGUCCCAGAAGAAGCUGAAAACCGAAGAACGGCUCUGCAAGGUCCUGAUGCUUCUCGCGACGUUCGCCGUGAGCAUCACAUACGUCGCCGGACUGAGCACGCCUGGUGGCUUCUGGGACAGCACCGGGGGCAGCCACCGCCCAGGCGACGUGAUUCUCAGGGACCACCACAGCACACGCCUGACGGUGUUUUUACUCUUCAACACCACGGCGUUCGUGGCGUCCCUGCUCAUCGCCGUGCUGCUCAUCAUCGACGGCAAGAAGCUCCGCGACAAGACGGCUCGGUUUCACGUGCUCUACGUGUGCAUCUUCGUAGCGCUUGUCGGCCUCAUUGGCGCAUACGCCGCUGGCAGCUGCAGGAAGACCGACACCACCGCCUACGUGGUCAGCCUGGUUGGCGCUGUUCUGGCAUACAUCCUGCUCCACGGCUUCUACACUUGGUAUUACUCCAAUUCAGCCCUACAAACUGAUGAAAAUCAGCAGACUGGUGACAGUGGUAGGGAGGCUCUGGACAAGGCUCGCUCUCUUGUUCUACUGCUCGCCACUCUUGCCGCCGCCAUCACCUACACAGCAGUGUUGGACCCGCCGGGUGGCGUUUGGCAGGACAACGGUGACGGGCACAUGGCUGGCGACCCCAUCCUCCUCGCGACAAACGCUAGGAGGUACAAGGCCUUCUACUACUGCAACUCGGUUGCGUUUGUGGCCUCAUUGGUGGCCAUCGUCUUGGUCCAGAUGGAGAAGCUAGUCAAGCACCAUGUGCUGGAGGCAGCCAUGAUACUCGACCUGUUUGGCCUCAUCGGUGCAUAUGCCGCUGGGAGCUGCCGAAACGUGAACACCUCCAUUUACGCCAUGGCUUUGGCAGGGGCUGUCUUGAUCUAUGUGGUGAUCCAUGUUGUCUUCUUCACGCUGGAUCACAGGGACCAGAACAACAACGCCCAAGAAGAUCAGUUGCUGGAGAAGAAGCGCAAACGGUUGCUCCUCUUCGCGAUCUUGACCGUGACCAUCACCUACCAAGCCGGCCUCACCCCUCCUGGUGGCUUCCUGCUCCAGGACGACAAGCUCGGCCACCAUGCCGGUGACCCGGUCCUCUUGUACAACUACCCACGCCGCUACCAUGCCUUCUUCUAUUGCAACUCGGUGAGCUUCAUGUUGUCCAUCGCCCUCAUCAUCCUCCUGGUGAACCCCAAUUUGUACAGGCCAGCAAUACGAAGCAAUGCGCUAUCUGUUUGUACGGCGGUGGGUUUGUUUUGUUUGAUGGGGGCGUACGCCGCCGGAAGCACGCAACACAUCAAGACAUCCAUCUACAUUUUCGUGUUGGUGGUCGUGGUCCUCCUCGUUGCAGCCGGACUGCUGCUAGUAUUUUUGUUGAGGGAACUGAAUAAAAAUGGCAAUUCAGCAGCUGCUACGCCAUCCAGACCCACUGGACAGGAGGACGGAGAAGAAGUAAACAGAAAUGACAUCUCAGUAGCUGCUCCGCGAUCCAGACUGACUGGACAGGAGGACAGAGAAGAAGAAAACAGAAAUGGCAUCCCGGCAGCUGCUGCGCCAUCCAUACCCAAUGAACAGGAGGAAGAAGAAAAAGCAAAGAAGGAAGAAAGGAAGAACCACGCGAGGCGCAAAUACCUGAUGCUGCUAGGUAUCUUGGUGGCGAGCGUAGCCUACCAGGCCGGCCUGGAACCACCCGGCGGAGCGUGGCAGAGCAGUGGGAACGGGUACGAGGCGGGUGAUCCGGUGAUGCAUAACAACAUGAGGCCCCGGUACCUUGUCUUCUUCUACAGCAACUCCAUUUCCUUUGUGGCUUCCAUCGUUGUCAUCAUCAUGUUGCUGCCGCAUUGGCUGCCAGACGAGAGGGAAGAAGAAUGGAAGACAUGGUCGCUGAAGGUGAUGAACCGGACGAUCAGACUGGAUCUGUUUGCUCUCCUGGUGGCCUAUGCAGCCGGCUCCAACAGGGGGUGGAAGACGUCUGUGGUUGUCGUUGCGCUCAUCAUUGCCGUGCUGGGCUACUUUGCAAUCCACAUGAAGCUUUCGACAUGGUCUGAAAGUCGCCAUGAGAGCCAGCAGAGCAGCAACGGAAAUAAUGCAGUGUGA